rnacentral:piRNA from 1 species
UUAUCGUGGAGUUAGCGAUUUUGGCCC